CGGGCAAUGGAUACAGUGGUGCAUGGUUAUCGUCAGCUCGUGCCGUGAGGUGUUGGGUUAAGUCCCGCAACGAGCGCAACCCUCAUUGUUAGUUACUACCAUUCAGUUGAGGACUCUAAUGAGACUGCCAACGAUAAGUUGGAGGAAGGUGGGGAUGACGUCAAAUCAUCAUGCCCUUUAUGACCUGGGCUACAAACGUACUACAAUGGCCAAUACAAAGAGAUGCGAAGCGGUGACGUGGAGCGAACCUCAGAAAGUUGGUCUCAGUUCAGAUUGAAGUCUGCAACUCGACUUCAUGAAGGCGGAAUCGCUAGUAAUCGCGGGUCAGCAGACCGCGGUGAAUACGUUCCCGGGUUUU
rnacentral:rRNA from 1 species